CAACAGGUGGGGGCGCGCAGGGGAGGGGCCGCGGCCGGACCAGCAGAGCGCUUCAAGGGCUGGCGCUGGGACGGACUUUCCACACUGUCUUUAGGGACUGGGGUUAGCAGACAGCCCUUGGCCACCACUGUGUCCUUACUCUGUCGCUUUACUUGGGGUUGGACCUCCCCUUUCCAGCUCUGGCGUGUGACCCCGCACCGAGCGUGGUGUCAAGACCACCACCAGCUGGGGCCGUGGGAGCGAAGGUGCCCCAGGCUCGGGGAAGAUGCGGACCUUUUACCCGCUCCGCAAGUGAUUGUUGCGCGCUCUGGUGAGGGGACAGUGGUACCGCGAUUUCCCAUGUGUCAGCUUCGGGACUCAGAUGUGCUUUUGUGUCUCUUUGAUUAGCAAAAGCAAAACGAAUUCCUCCCCGAACACUAAGCUUCCUGGAAACUUCCCUAGACCUAAACUUGAGAACCGCAUAUAAACGAACCUUGAGGGUUCUGUUGUCGGUAGCGGAUUACCUGAUUGCAAACUGAGCAAGUUUAAAACGGAGUGGGCUGCUUUGGGCUGCACAGCCGCCUGGCAUUGUGACAGCUGAGCAGGAGGCAGAGGUGAGAGCCCAAGAUGGACUAAAAAUGCCCCAGCAGCUAGGAGCCCAGCCUCGUUGAAAGGAGGAACAUUCGGUGCAGGUGUCGGAACCUUAUCCUUUAUGAAACGGGACAGCUCACAGGAUUACAUUUCUAAGCCAAUCCUGUGAUGAUCCUCCAUGAAAUUCUCUAUUUUCCUUGCAUGUGGUCAAAACUGAGCCUCACUGGAACAAUUGAAAACAAAUAUUCUCGACAAAUCUUAAGAAUCGUUUUGAAAAUCAAAAGGAAUUGGCUCAUGUGGUUGUGGAGGGUUAGUGAGUCCAAAACCUGUUCGUGCAGGCCAGCAGACUGGAGACCCACAGGAGAGUUGCCCUUCAAGUCCAAGGUCAGUCCACCUGCAGAAUUCUUUUUUGCUCAGGGGGAAGGUCAGUUUUUGUUCUAA
rnacentral:lncRNA from 1 species